rnacentral:rRNA from 11 species
CAUAGCAUGCGCCUUCUACGAGUCGAGUUGCUUGGGAUUGCAGCUCAAAGCGGGUGGUAAAUUCCAUCUAAAGCUAAAUAUUGGUGGGAGACCGAUAGCGCACAAGUACCGUGAGGGAAAGAUGCAAAGAACUUUGAAAAGAGAGUUAAAGAGUACCUGAAAUUGCUGAAAGGGAAGCGAAGGAAACCAGUGUCGUGCGCGAUUAUAUU